rnacentral:rRNA from 1 species
UACGUAGGGUGCGAGCGUUGUCCGGAAUUAUUGGGCGUAAAGAGCUCGUAGGCGGUGUGUCGCGUCGGCCGUGAAAACCUGGGGCUUAACUCUGGGCGUGCGGUCGAUACGGGCAUCACUGGAGUUCGGCAGGGGAGACUGGAAUUCCUGGUGUAGCGGUGAAAUGCGCAGAUAUCAGGAGGAACACCGGUGGCGAAGGCGGGUCUCUGGGCAACAACUGACGCUGAGGAGCGAAAGCGUGGGGAGCGAACAGG